ACAUUCCUUUCUUUCCAUUAAGUGCUGCUAAAACUGCUUUGUGUGCAGUAAAGUGAUUCACUGGAGUAGUCCUGAAUGUCAGGUGUGAUUCUCCAGAGGACUGUGUACCCACUUCUGUAUAAGCUCAGUGGUGGGUCAUCCUGUCACGGUGCACCAGGUUUUUGGAGUCAACCUGAAGUGUCUUCAAAGUGAAGUCCUCUCUCCUUGCACCAGGCGGCCUCUGAAAGCCCAGGUAUCCUGCAGGAGAAACAGAAUUCAAAGGGUAGUCAUGCUCCUGCAGCGUACCAGUGUGUGUUCCCGGCAGGACAACCAGGCAACCGUUCUUCCUGUCCACCUUCUCCAUCGCCGUCCAAGAGCAGACGAUCUUGUCGGCUGGGCGGAAGGGGAAGUAAUGCAGGUCCUGAUGCAUCGGGUGGCGAGAAGUCUUUUUACCUGAGACACCGGAAGAUGGUGCAGUACCGAAACAGUUCAGGAUCUUCCUGAAAGUCCUGGAGCUUGGAGAUUGCUCUCUGAUCUGGAACAUAUUCUGAUUUCACAAUUGCGACGUCCUUCAUCACCACCAGACCUGGAACCCUCACGUCCUGUCGGGAGAUCCUUUCAAACUCACUCCUGUGGACCAGAAACACCAAAGACCAGUCAUUCAAGAUCACAGAGUAGAACUGCAGAUUCAAGAAAAGUCUAUCUAAUGCUUUGCAAACAUACAGGAUAACGAUAUACCAUAAAAAGUCA